rnacentral:sRNA from 1 species
CAGAAAAUGAAUACUUUCAGAUAAAGAAAAAAACAAACCCAAGAAACAACGACCCCAAGAGCAUGAAGCUACCCCAGGAACAGAGUCAGCUUCCAAAUCCUUCAGAGGCCGGCACAACCUUCCCUGAGAGCCAUCUUUGGACUCCUCAGAUGCCACCAACAACUCCAUCCAGCAGUUUCUUCACCAAGUGGAAACCAAAACUGCAGACUGAACCUGAAGAAGUUUCCAUAGAAGACAGUGCCCAGAGUGACCUCAAAGAAGUGAUGGUGCUGAACGCAACAGAAUCAUUUGUAUAUGAGCCCAAAGAGCAGAAGAAAAUGUUUCAUGCCACAGUGGCAACUGAGAAGGAAGUCUUCCGAGUGAAGGUUUUUAAUAUUGACCUAAAGGAGAAGUUCACCCCAAAGAAGAUCAUUGCCAUAUCAAAUUAUGUUUGCCGCAAUGGGUUCCUGGAGGUAUAUCCUUUCACACUUGUGGCUGAUGUGAAUGCUGACCCAAAGAUGGAGAUCCCAAAAGGAUUGAUUAGAAGUGCCAACAUAACUCCUAAAAUUAAUCAGCUUUGCUCACAAACUAAAGGAAGUUUUGUGAAUGGGGUGUUUGAGGUACAUAAGAAAAAUGUAAGGGGUGAAUUCACUUAUUAUGAAAUACAAGAUAAUACAGGGAAGAUGGAAGUGGUGGUGCAUGGACGACUGACCACAAUCAACUGUGAGGAAGGAGAUAAACUGAAACUCACCUGCUUUGAAUUGGCACCGAAAAGUGGGAAUACCGGGGAGUUGAGAUCUGUAAUUCAUAGUCACAUCAAGGUCAUCAAGACCAGGAAAAACAAGAAAGAUAUACUCAAUCCUGAUUCAAGUAUGGAAACUUCACCAGACUUUUUCUUCUAAAAUCUGGAUGUCAUUGACGAUAAUGUUUAUGGAGAUAAGGUGUAAGUGCCUAAAAAAUGUACAUAUACCUGGUUGAAAUACAACACUGUACAUACACACCACCAUAUAUACCAGCUGUUAAUCCUAUGGAAUGGGAUAUUAGGAGUGCUUUUUUAAUUCUUUAUAGUUUUUUUUCUAAAAUGGCAUAUUAUGCAUCCACAACUUCUAUAAUUUGAAAAAAAUAAA